rnacentral:lncRNA from 1 species
UGUAAACCAUUCUGCGUACCCCCCGGCCGGGGAGAAUGCGGGGAGACCGCGUUUAGAGGAUCAGUGGCGGCAGGCCCGCGCGGUGCCGGCGACUAGCAGCGAGAAGUCCCGGCUUCUUCCAGGUUUGGAAAAGCCAAGUGAGGAGCGCGAGAUCCUGUUAUCCCGACGACUCCCAAGCAGCUGCCAAAAAGAAGGGGCCGUUGGUCUCCACGUUCUCCACUUCCAACUGUUCCAGAACUAGCUGCUAUCUCCCUGGACUCAACAGCCCCUCUCGGGAAUCUGAGAUGGCAUUGGGGGACCAACCUCCCGAGGUUGUGAGGAUGACAACAGUACUCUGUGAUGCUGUCCCUCCUCAGGUUGGCUGCCAUCCCUGCUGAUGGAGAGAGACUGGAGACUGUCAGAGAAGAUUGUGCCGAUGCAGAGGCCUCCCAGUGAAGUGUGAAGGGAUGGGCCUUAACCAGGGUUGAAGAAAAAAAGUGAAGAAGGGAGAACCCAAGAAAAGGUGGGGACAGUUGGGACUUCUGAUUACAUUCGUCUGGUACACUUCUUUUGCACUGUAUGUUAUCAUCUCCAAAUUUCACAUUUAUUGUAGAAAUCUGCAGUGUGUAUGCCCCGGCCAAAUGCUGCUUGGCUAAAAAAGUGUUAAAUAAAACUGUAAGAAAUGCUACCAGGGCUUUGCAUGGGUUAUUUAAUUCUAUCAGUGACAAACAACACUAAUAUGUAGCCUCUCGCCCAGCACAAUAUCAUGUUUCAUUUAUAUGUGCCGAGACAUA